CAGUGGGGAAUAUUGCACAAUGGGCGCAAGCCUGAUGCAGCCAUGCCGCGUGUAUGAAGAAGGCCUUCGGGUUGUAAAGUACUUUCAGCGGGGAGGAAGGCGAUGCGGUUAAUAACCGCGUCGAUUGACGUUACCCGCAGAAGAAGCACCGGCUAACUCCGUGCCAGCAGCCGCGGUAAUACGGAGGGUGCAAGCGUUAAUCGGAAUUACUGGGCGUAAAGCGCACGCAGGCGGUCUGUCAAGUCGGAUGUGAAAUCCCCGGGCUCAACCUGGGAACUGCAUCCGAAACUGGCAGGCUUGAGUCUCGUAGAGGGGGGUAGAAUUCCAGGUGUAGCGGUGAAAUGCGUAGAGAUCUGGAGGAAUACCGGUGGCGAAGGCGGCCCCCUGGACGAAGACUGACGCUCAGGUGCGAAAGCGUGGGGAGCAAACAGGAUUAGAUA
rnacentral:rRNA from 1 species